rnacentral:rRNA from 1 species
AGAAUCAACGCUGGCGGCGUGCCUAACACAUGCAAGUCGAACGAGAAAGUGGAGCAAUCCAUGAGUAAAGUGGCGACCGGGUGAGUAACACGUGACUAACCUACCUUCGAGUGGGGGAUAACCUCGGGAAACCGAGGCUAAUACCGCAUAACAUCGUGAGAUCAAAGCAGUAAUGCGCUGGAAGAGGGGGUCGCGGCUGAUUAGCUAGUUGCGGGUAAUGGCCCACCAAGGCGAAGAUCGGUA